GAUGAACGCUGACAGAAUGCUUAACACAUGCAAGUCUUUGGCGAAGCUGUGCUUGCACAGCCUAGCCAAGGCGGACGGGUGAGUAACGCGUAAGGAACUUGCCCUGCAGUCAGGGAUAACAGACGGAAACGACUGAUAAGACCUGGUAAAGUCAGGCGGACUCAUGUCCAGCCUGAUGAAAAGAGAUGCUGCAGGAGAGCCUUGCGUCCUAUUAGCUUGUUGGUGGGGUAACGGCCCACCGAGGCGAUGAUAGGUAGCCGGCCUGAGAGGGUGGACGGCCACAAGGGGACUGAGAUACGGCCCUUACUCCUACGGGAGGCAGCAGUGGGGAAUAUUGGACAAUGGGGGCAACCCUGAUCCAGCAAUUCUGUGUGCACGAUGAAGGUUUUCGGAUUGUAAAGUGCUUUCAGCAGGGAAGAAAAAAUGACGGUACCUGCAGAAGAAGCGACGGCUAAAUACGUG
rnacentral:rRNA from 1 species